rnacentral:miRNA from 1 species
UACAUGUCGCUCUCACCUGAA